GGGCCAUCACCUCUGGAUCAGAAAUUUACCUUGCAAUAAGAAGCGAAUUCACAGAUCUGCAACUUUCCAUGAGUCGAAGCCCAGCUGUUGUUGUUCCAUCUCCAUCUCACUAGAAGCCCUUGGAGCUGGAUGGGGGUUAGUGGCACCCUUUGCUAAUACGGAAGGCAAUUUGGUCUGCACGCUCAAGGAUCUCCAGGCUGCAAGCUCUUUACCAAUAUGUCAACUAAAACAUGGUGACUAACUACACGUGACUUGGUGAGAAAAAUGCUCCCCUUUUUGCUGCAACUCUUCCCCUUCUAAUCUAAACUUAAGGUGAGUUGGAAAUCAAACUUCGGAGAGAUUCCGGGAUGUUCAGGCUGAUAAUCAUGAAUUCCAUGAAGAUUCCUUUUUCUUUAUGAUGUAUCAAGAAAGAAAAUUUUUCAUCAGGUUUCUGCUUGGAAGCUCAACGCCUCAGUUGUAAUCCUAGAUCUUCCUGAUAUCUCUGAAGAGUAGGCAUGUAAAGAUACAAAGUAAAUGUAUAAAUAAUGCAUAUCCUACAUGAUAUCUAAUAUUGUUAUUGCAGCUACCAUGCUUGGUAUCCGCUGACAAACAAUAAACAGGUCCAGUGAAAUCUAUAGGCUUUGUUCAAUUACUUCAAA